CCUACGGGAGGCAGCAGUGGGGAAUAUUGGACAAUGGGGGAAACCCUGAUCCAGCAAUGCCGCGUGAGUGAUGAAGGCCUUCGGGUUGUAAAGCUCUUUCGCCCACGACGCGGUAGUGGGAGAAGAAGCCCCGGCUAACUUCGUGCCAGCAGCCGCGGUAAUACGAAGGGGGCUAGCGUUGUUCGGAGUUACUGGGCGUAAAGGGCGCGUAGGCGGCAGUUCAAGUCGGGUGUGAAAGCCCGGGGCUCAACCCCGGAAUAGCACUCGAGACUGGGCAGCUCGAGGAUGGGAGAGGAUGGUGGAAUUCCCAGUGUAGAGGUGAAAUUCGUAGAUAUUGGGAAGAACACCGGUGGCGAAGGCGGCCAUCUGGACAUUCUGACGCUGAGGCGCGAAAGCGUGGGGAGCAAACAGGAUUAGAUACCCUUGUAGUC
rnacentral:rRNA from 1 species